AGCAGCCGCGGUAAUUCCAGCUCCAAUAGCGUAUAUUAAAGUUGUUGCAGUUAAAAAGCUCGUAGUUGAAUUUCGGGAUCAAUAUGUUUGGUCGUGCCUCGGUACGUACUAGCAUAUUGGUUUCUCCUUUCUGAAGAACCUCGAUGUCAUUAAUUUGGUGUCUUGGGGAAUCAGGACUGUUACUUUGAAAAAAUUAGAGUGUUUAAAGCAGGCUCGCGCUUGAAUACAUUAGCAUGGAAUAAUGAAAUAGGACGUUUGAUUCUAUUUUGUUGGUUUCUAGGAUCGACGUAAUGAUUAAUAGGGAUAGUUGGGGGCAUUAGUAUUCAAUUGUCAGAGGUGAAAUUCUUGGAUUUAUUGAAGACUAACUACUGCGAAAGCAUUUGCCAAGGAUGUUUUCAUUAAUCAAGAACGAAGGUUAGGGGAUCGAAGACGAUCAGAUACCGUCGUAGU
rnacentral:rRNA from 1 species